GAGGAUAUAGCUCAGUGGUAGAGUGUGUGCCUAGCAUGCACAAGGUCCUGGGUUCAAUCCUCAGUACCUCCA
rnacentral:tRNA from 1 species